GCAGGCACACACUGUCCAGCACUCACUUUUUGAAAAAAGAAAGGAAUAAAAAACACCCUCUCUCCAAUAAUAAGAUUCCAACAGAAAAAAGACACCACAAAAAACCUGACCUCUCUUUGCAGAAAAGGAAGAAGGAAAAACCAGAGGGACCCUUGCUCUCCCACCCAAGGAAAAUUAGCAGUCAGCUCUUCAACAUCCAGCACUGUGAUUUCUCCUCUGCAUCAACCUUCAGCCACGGUGACUAGCUUCACCAGCAUCUCUUCUCAGUCAUCUUGGCUAGCUUCAUCCUCCUUCCAGUAACAGAGACUGCUUUCCAUCAGUAGCUUCCUUUCAGUAGCAAUAAUAGAGAUUGCAUCUCCUCAGACUGUGACCAACAACUUCACCCUCCUUCCAGCAGCAAGAGUUUCUUCUCAGUCACAAAAGCUUCUGGUUCCAACCAUGAGCAGCAGUUUACUCUUCCAGCAGUAAGAGGCUCUCCCUUCCAGUCAAAGCAGCAGCAGUAAUACCUACUCCACACCAGCAGCUCCUCACCUUGGUCAGUCUCCACCCCAGCACCAGAUCCUCCAAGAUCAGCCACCGUGGGUAGUUUUGCUACCAGUCACCUCACACAGCAACCGUGAACUCCAACAACACAGUCACCUGCUGCGGCAACAUCUCUUUCUUUGCACCGUGAGAACCACCAUCUCCCACCGUACUAACCUCCACACCAGGAAGCUUCUCUCAACUCCACCGUGAGCUUUAGUCCUGAUAGCAGUCCUUGGAUACAACCAGUGAGCAGACUUCACCAGUUGCAACAGUGCAGCCUGUACGUGGUGUUCCUCUGUCAAGACUAGGAGAUUUUGUAGAAAAAAGCCUGAAACAAUGGGUCUGGAAAAAGAGCUUGAAAAUAAAAAGGAUGGACUAUGAAGAAGAGUUCAAAACAGGUGAGCCUAAAAGUUCUUGAAAAUACUUUUUUUUAUGGGUUUAUAAAGAUGGUAAGAUGCUAUAACAAUCAUCUUUAUUCUUAUUACCGAGAGGAGUAUAUGAUCCCGAGGAUGAGGAGGUUGAAGAAGAUGAAAACAUAAACUCUCAUUUUCCACUAUCAAAGUGUUGUUUCAUGACCUCAAAAUAUUCUUCUUUGGACUUGGCGGUUGAAGUACCACUCUAGAGGAAAACUUUUUGUGGCUGUGACAAGAGGAUCAGAAUGGUAAAAUCCAUUUUCAAUAGUUAAAACAUUUUGAAAAUUGUUCUUGAUGAAAUAUUUAGACUUUGGUUUUAAAGAUUUUUUCAUGAAAUUGGGUUGGGAUAAUGAAAUAUACAAGAUUGAAGCAAAGGUCUUUGAGAAGAAGACUCUGUUUGGAUUUUUAAAAUCAGUGUAGGAGUUUUACCUGAUUAAGGGGAUUCAUCCCCUUAAGAGGACUUCUGGCUCAAAGUUUGCAAGGACAAAAAUAAUUCUGGAGAUUUGGAUAGAGUUUCUACCAUAUUUUGUACUUUGUCAAUUUGUAUUGCUGGAGGAUUUAUUGUUUUUUCUUCAACAAUAACUACAUCGUACCAAGAA